rnacentral:rRNA from 1 species
GAUGAACGCUAGCUACAGGCUUAACACAUGCAAGUCGAGGGGCAGCAUGAACUUAGCUUGCUAAGUUUGAUGGCGACCGGCGCACGGGUGAGUAACACGUAUCCAACCUGCCGAUGACUCGGGGAUAGCCUUUCGAAAGAAAGAUUAAUACCCGAUGGCAUAGUUCUCCCGCAUGGUAGAACUAUUAAAGAAUUUCGGUCAUCGAUGGGGAUGCGUUCCAUUAGGUUGUUGGCGGGGUAACGGCCCACCAAGCCUUCGAUGGAUAGGGGUUCUGAGAGGAAGGUCCCCCACAUUGGAACUGAGACACGGUCCAAACUCCUACGGGAGGCAGCAGUGAGGAAUAUUGGUCAAUGGACGAGAGUCUGAACCAGCCAAGUAGCGUGAAGGAUGACUGCCCUAUGGGUUGUAAACUUCUUUUAUACGGGAAUAAAGUGAGGCACGUGUGCCUUUUUGUAUGUACCGUAUGAAUAAGGAUCGGCUAACUCCGUGCCAGCAGCCGCGGUAAUACGGAGGAUCCGAGCGUUAUCCGGAUUUAUUGGGUUUAAAGGGAGCGUAGGCGGACGCUUAAGUCAGUUGUGAAAGUUUGCGGCUCAACCGUAAAAUUGCAGUUGAUACUGGGUGUCUUGAGUACAGUAGAGGCAGGCGGAAUUCGUGGUGUAGCGGUGAAAUGCUUAGAUAUCACGAAGAACUCCGAUUGCGAAGGCAGCCUGCUGGACUGUAACUGACGCUGAUGCUCGAAAGUGUGGGUAUCAAACAGG